rnacentral:lncRNA from 1 species
AAUUUAGCAUUAAUUAAUUGUAAUGGGUUCCACAUAAAAAAAGGUCAGGUACACCUCAGUACGACUACAAACCGGUACCAACCAUCUAGUUCACCUCCUCAUCAAACAACCUGAUCUACAUGGCCUGCAUUGCCCAAGAUGUCUCCAGUUCCAGAACUCCUACAUGAAUGGGCUAGAACCAAAACCACAUAAAAUCCUUCAAAAGGUCAAAAAUUGUUUCUAAAGAGUGUAUACAACAACGCAUGCAGUACGUACACACCUUGCAGUCUUCACCAAGUAGAAUGAGUAGAUCAG